rnacentral:rRNA from 1 species
GAUGAACGCUGGCGGCGUGCCUAAUACAUGCAAGUCGAGCGAACAGACGAGGAGCUUGCUCCUCUGACGUUAGCGGCGGACGGGUGAGUAACACGUGGAUAACCUACCUAUAAGACUGGGAUAACUUCGGGAAACCGGAGCUAAUACCGGAUAAUAUAUUGAACCGCAUGGUUCAAUAGUGAAAGACGGUUUUGCUGUCACUUAUAGAUGGAUCCGCGCCGCAUUAGCUAGUUGGUAAGGUAACGGCUUACCAAGGCAACGAUGCGUAGCCGACCUGAGAGGGUGAUCGGCCACACUGGAACUGAGACACGGUCCAGACUCCUACGGGAGGCAGCAGUAGGAAAUCUUCCGCAAUGGGCGAAAGCCUGACGGAGCAACGCCGCGUGAGUGAGGAAGGUCUUCGGAUCGUAAAACGCUGUUAUUAGGGAAGAACAAAUGUGUAAGUAACUAUGCACGUCUUGACGGUACCUAAUCAGAAAGCCACGGCUAACUACGUG